rnacentral:rRNA from 1 species
UACGUAGGGGGCUAGCGUUGUCCGGAAUCAUUGGGCGUAAAGAGCGUGUAGGCGGUCCGGUAAGUCCGCUGUGAAAGUCGGGGGCUCAACCCUCGAAUGCCGGUGGAUACUGUUGGGCUAGAGUGCGGAAGAGGCGAGUGGAAUUCCUGGUGUAGCGGUGGAAUGCGCAGAUAUCAGGAAGAACACCCGUGGCGAAGGCGGCUCUCUGGGACGGUACUGACGCUGAGACGCGAAAGCGUGGGGAGCGAACAGG